rnacentral:rRNA from 1 species
UACAGGGGGGGCAAGCGUUGUUCGGAAUUACUGGGCGUAAAGGGCUCGUAGGCGGUUCGUCACGUCGGGAGUGAAAACUCGGGGCUUAACCCCGAGCCUGCUUCCGAUACGGGCAGACUAGAGGUAGGCAGGGGAGAGCGGAACUCCUGGUGUAGCGGUGGAAUGCGCAGAUAUCAGGAGGAACACCGGUGGCGAAGGCGGGUCUCUGGGCCGAUACUGACGCUGAGGAGCGAAAGCGUGGGGAGCGAACAGG